GGAUGCGAUGAUACCAGCACUAAAGCACCGGAUCCCAUCAGAACUCCGAAGUUAAGUGUGCUAGGGCGAGAGUAGUACUAGGAUGGGUGACCUCCUGGGAAGUCCUCGUGUUGCAUUCC
rnacentral:rRNA from 1 species